GAUGAACGCUGGCGGCGUGCUUAACACAUGCAAGUCGAACGAUGAAGCCGGAGCUUGCUCUGGUGAAUUAGUGGCGAACGGGUGAGUAACACGUGAGUAACCUGCCCUUGACUCUGGGAUAACUGCGGGAAACUGUAGCUAAUACCGGAUACGACCCUCGGAGGCAUCUCCUGGGGGUGGAAAGAAUUUCGGUCAAGGAUGGACUCGCGGCCUAUCAGCUAGUUGGUGAGGUAACGGCUCACCAAGGCGACGACGGGUAGCCGGCCUGGGAGGGUGACCGGCCACACUGGGACUGAGACACGGCCCGGACUGCUACGGGAGGCAGCAGUGGGGAAUAUUGCACAAUGGGCGCAAGACUGAUGCAGCAACGCCGCGUGAGGGAUGACGGCCUUCGGGUUGUAAACCUCUUUUAGCAGGGAAGAAGCGAAAGUGACGGUACCUGCAGAAAAAGCACCGGCUAACUACGUGCCAGCCGCCGCUGUAA
rnacentral:rRNA from 1 species